rnacentral:sRNA from 1 species
GAAGUUGUCGAGGCAUACAAAAAAAAAAAAAAAAAAAAAAAAAAAAAAAAAUGAAGAUAUAUAUUUGUAUAUAUUUUCUGCAAUCAUUUGUUGGGCGGCAUGGCAUGCAACACAUACAUAAAUACAAAAGGACGUAUCACACGGAACAAACAGUCGUAUCACACGUAUGGGAAUCAAUCACAAAUUUCAAGAUGUACAAAUAGUUUUCGUAAAUUCCGGUAAAGACCACAUUUGGAAAUGCAAUUGUUCAGCAAUUGGUGUUAAAAUUAUCUGUUUAUCUUUGG